rnacentral:rRNA from 1 species
AGGGUUUGAUUAUGGCUCAGGACGAACGCUGGCGGCGCGCCUAACACAUGCAAGUCGAACGGAGCUUGCUUAUUUGAUUCUUUCGGGAUGACGAUUUGUAAGCUUAGUGGCGAACGGGUGAGUAACACGUGAGUAACCUGCCCCAGAGUGGGGGACAACAGUUGGAAACGACUGCUAAUACCGCAUAAGCCCACGGAACCGCAUGGUUCAGAGGGAAAAGGAGCAAUUCGCUUUGGGAUGGACUCGCGUCCGAUUAGCUAGAUGGUGAGGUAACGGCCCACCAUGGCGACGAUCGGUAGCCGGACUGAGAGGUUGAUCGGCCACAUUGGGACUGAGACACGGCCCAG